rnacentral:misc_RNA from 1 species
AAGUCGUAACAAGGUUUCCGUAGGUGAACCUGCGGAAGGAUCAUUAACAAAACAAAUCUUCUAUAUGAACCCGUUGAACAAAGGGGGAGCAAUCUCCCGGGAUGUGAGCUACGGCAUCGGCACGAUGCGGCUCUACAUUGACGCUUAUUUGUUGUAUGUGUACCUUUGCAGUAAUGAAUACAACUAUUAACAGUGGAUCUCUUGGCUCCCA